rnacentral:rRNA from 1 species
AUUGAACGCUGGCGGCAGGCCUAACACAUGCAAGUCGAGCGGAUGAAGGGAGCUUGCUCCUGGAUUCAGCGGCGGACGGGUGAGUAAUGCCUAGGAAUCUGCCUGGUAGUGGGGGAUAACGUCCGGAAACGGGCGCUAAUACCGCAUACGUCCUGAGGGAGAAAGUGGGGGAUCUUCGGACCUCACGCUAUCAGAUGAGCCUAGGUCGGAUUAGCUAGUUGGUGGGGUAAAGGCCUACCAAGGCGACGAUCCGUAACUGGUCUGAGAGGAUGAUCAGUCACACUAGAACUGAGACACGGCCCAGACUCCUACGGGAGGCAGCAGUGGGGAAUAUUGGACAAUGGGCGAAAGCCUGAUCCAGCCAUGCCGCGUGUGUGAAGAAGGUCUUCGGAUUGUAAAGCACUUUAAGUUGGGAGGAAGGGCAGUAAGUUAAUACCUUGCUGUUUUGACGUUACCAACAGAAUAAGCACCGGCUAACUUCGUG